CUCUGCCCGUCAGCACUCAGCUGUUGCUGCUGCUGCCUGGCCUUUUCCUGCUGCCUGCUCUGGAGCACCAAUCCCAGCAGGAUGAGCACUGCUGCGCCAGUGGAGACUAACAGAGACACUGUGGUGGCGAUGGAAGUGGACAUGGUGCAGGAUCAGGAAGAAAUGAUGGAGGUGGACGUGGAAGAGCAGGUUGAGGAGAUGGAAGUAGAUGUGGAGGAUGACAUCGAGGAGAUGGAAGUGGAUGAGAAGGAUGAGGAGGAGCCCAUGGUCCUUGGAUGAAGAUGGAGCCCCACAAGACUGAUGCAGAUGAUGGCUGUAGAUAUUACGGCGGUGUAGAUAUGUUUGAAAAGUUAGAAUUUUUAUUGUAAAUAUGUUCUUAGGUUAGUAGUUCUUUGUAAAUAUGUUUUGAAGAUUGUUAGUCCAUAGGAUCCCAUGGAAAUAUGUGCAGUAGAUUGUUGUUGUUAUAAGGAUUUUUGUAAUGGAAGGUGUUCUGUAAAUCCUCGUGUUUGCCGAUGAUCAGCAAAUAAAUAAUGAUUCUUUAUAAAACUUCACUUCUCCUUCUCAUUCCUUUGGGCACUGUCAGAACCCCGGA